UACAGGGGGUGCAAACGUUGCUCGGAAUCAUUGGGCGUAAAGCGCACGUAGGCGGUUCGUUAUGUCGGAUGUGAAAGCCCUUGGCUUAACCGAGGAAGUGCAUCCGAAACUGGCGAGCUAGAGUACUAAAGAGGAUCGCGGAAUUCCCGGUGUAGAGGUGAAAUUCGUAGAUAUUCGGAAGAGCACCAGUGGCGAAGGCGGCUCACUGGACCGGUAUUGACGCUGAGGUGCGAAAGCGUGGGGAGCAAACAGG
rnacentral:rRNA from 1 species